UACGUAGGUGGCGAGCGUUGUCCGGAAUUACUGGGUGUAAAGGGAGCGUAGGCGGGAGAGCAAGUCGACUGUGAAAUCUAUGGGCUUGACCCAUAGCUGCGAUCGAAACUGUUCAUCUUGAGUGAAGUAGAGGCAGGCGGAAUUCCUAGUGUAGCGGUGAAAUGCGUAGAUAUUAGGAGGAACACCAGUGGCGAAGGCGGCCUGCUGGGCUUUUACUGACGCUGAGGCUCGAAAGUGUGGGGAGCAAACAGG
rnacentral:rRNA from 1 species